CAUUGAAGUUUUAUUCUCACGGUGCUUACGGCUAUUUCUCAUAUUUAUCAAAUUUUAAGCCUAUUUUUCUUAUGCCAUCCAUGUUUAAUUAAUGGUCAGCCAUGUUAUUUCUUUUUAAUGACUUAUCUUUUAUUUUUAUUUUUAUUUUUAUUUUACUUUUAGUGUUCACUUUAAUGAUUUUAAUUAUGCUUGGUGCAUGUAAAUUUCAUUUUAAUUUAGUCAUUUGCAUUCACAAACUUUUCAACAACCCCCCA
rnacentral:lncRNA from 1 species